rnacentral:rRNA from 1 species
GCUAACUCCGUGCCAGCAGCCGCGGUAAUACGGAGGGUGCAAGCGUUGUUCGGAAUUAUUGGGCGUAAAGCGCGUGCAGGCGGCCAUUUAAGUCUGAUGUGAAAGCCCCGGGCUCAACCUGGGAAGUGCAUCGGAUACUGGGUGGCUUGAGUACGGGAGAGGGAAGCGGAAUUCCGAGUGUAGGGGUGAAAUCCGUAGAUAUUCGGAGGAACACCAGUGGCGAAGGCGGCUUCCUGGACCGAUACUGACGCUGAGACGCGAAAGCGUGGGGAGCAAACAGGAUUAGAUACCCUGGUAGUCCACGCCGUAAACGAUGGGUACUAGGUGUCGCGGGUAUUGACCCCUGCGGUGCCGAAGCUAACGCAUUAAGUACCCCGCCUGGGGAGUACGGCCGCAAGGCUAAAACUCAAAGGAAUUGACGGA